UACGUAGGGUGCAAGCGUUAAUCGGAAUUACUGGGCGUAAAGGGCGCGUAGGCGGCCUGUUAAGUCGAACGUGAAAUCCCCGGGCUCAACCCGGGAACUGCGUCCGAUACUGGCAGGCUUGAAUCCGGGAGAGGGAUGUGGAAUUCCAGGUGUAGCGGUGAAAUGCGUAGAUAUCGAGAGGAACACCUGCGGCGAAGGCGGGUGGCUGGGCCGACACUGACGCUGAGGCGCGAAAGCCAGGGGAGCGAACGGG
rnacentral:rRNA from 1 species